AAGGGCACCACAAGAACGCGUGGAGCAUGUGGCUUAAUUUGACUCAACGCGRGAAAUCUUACCGGGUCCGGACACACUGAGGAUUGACAGGCAAUAUUAAUACGUUUUGCUUCGGUAAUCGUAUUAUGUUAAAUAUGCUAGUCCUUUCAUGAUUAUGUGAUAGGUGGUGCAUGGCCGUUCUUAGUUCGUGGAGUGAUCUGUCUGCUUAAUUGCGUUUCACUAAGGGCCUAUAAAUUUACGUGUGUUGCAUCGCACUUUGACCCCUUUCUUUAAUUAAAGAGCGCGUGUCUUAGUUUUCGCUUUGCUCAUACAAUUAGGUCCUGAAAGCAACGAACGUGACCGCAACCUCUUGUUGCCUUUAUACCAAACAUGUUUUGCGUCAAUUUUCGAAUUGCGCGCAUUUCAUGAAAAAAGGCUUUUUAAACUAGAGGGACCGCUGUUACUUUCUUAAACCAGAGGAAGGUUGCGGCAAUAACAGGUCUGUGAUGCCCUUAGAUGUUCCGGGCUGCACACGUGCUACAAUGAUUAUUGCAGUGAGCAUCUCAUUUUUACACACCGCAUGCGCGAGUCCAUUUAUUCACCUUCGGGUGUUUUAAAUGUGUAUCUCUGCGCGCGGUAAAGCCUGCUUCGACAGUAAGUGGGUAAUCAAUUAGAAGUAAUGAUUUCCUUUUUUUUAGCACACAUAUAUACGGCGUCUAUGCCCGGGUUACCUUGUUGUAGCUUUUGUGCGUAUAGAUGUUUUUUCCGUAUGUGCGAUUGUCAAUUCAUGGUGGGGACAGACCAUUGUUAAUUGUUGGUCUCGGUCUUAACUAGGAAUGCCUUGUACGGGUCUUUGGUUCAACAAACCACCCGGAAUACGUCCCUGCCCUUUGUACACACCGCCCGUCGCUCUUACCGAUGGACUUCUCUGUGAGUUUGAGGGACUGGGAACGCAGGAAUUUAUUUCUGCACACCUAUGGAAACUUAAACGAACAGUGUGGUCUAAAGGAAAGAGAAGUUGUAACAAGGCA
rnacentral:rRNA from 1 species